rnacentral:rRNA from 1 species
CGGUGUUUAACUGGCGUGAUGUGGGACGUCCUACCGGUGGGCUUAGCCUCGCGAGGGGCGGCCCAACUAAUAUCCCGUCGCGGUGCUCUUUACUGAGUGUCGAGUCGGGCCGGUACGUCUACUUUGAACAAAUUAGAGUGCUUAAAGCAGGCUAUCCUCGCCUGAAUACUGCGUGCAUGGAAUAAUGGAAUAGGACCUCGGUUCUAUUUUGUUGGUUUUCGGAACCCCGAGGUAAUGAUUAAUAGGGACAGAUGGGGGCAUUCGUAUUGCGACGUUAGAGGUGAAAUUCUUGGAUCGUCGCAAGACGGACAGAAGCGAAAGCAUUUGCCAAAAAUGUUUUCAUUAAUCAAGAACGAAAGUUAGAGGUUCGAAGGCGAUCAGAUACCGCCCUAGUUCUAACCAUAAACGAUGCCAGCUAGCGAUCCGCCGAAGUUCCUCCGAUGACUCGGCGGGCAGCUUCCGGGAAACCAAAGCUUUUGGGUUCCGGGGGAAGUAUGGUUGCAAAGCUGAAACUUAAAGGAAUUGACGGAAGGGCACCACCAGGAGUGGAGCCUGCGGCUUAAUUUGACUCAACACGGGAAACCUCACCAGGCCCAGACACCGGAAGGAUUGACAGAUUGAUAGCUCUUUCUUGAUUCGGUGGGUGGUGGUGCAUGGCCGUUCUUAGUUGGUGGAGCGAUUUGUCUGGUUAAUUCCGAUAACGAACGAGACUCUAGCCUGCUAAAUAGGCGUACCUUAUGGUAUCGCGAAGGCCCCCGGCUUCGGCCGGUGGGUUUUUACCACCAACGUACAAACAAAUCUUCUUAGAGGGACAGGCGG